rnacentral:rRNA from 1 species
CUCUCCAAAUUGAUUUUAUGCUUGCAUAAAUGAUUUUUGGAUUCGGAGCGAGUGGCGAACUGGUGAGUAACACGUGGGUAACCUGCCCCGAAGCGGGGGAUAACAUUUGGAAACAAGUGCUAAUACCGCAUAAUUAGUUGGAACCGCAUGGUUCCAACUUGAAAGAUGGCUCUGCUAUCACUUUGGGAUGGACCCGCGCCGUAUUAGUUAGUUGGUGAGAUAAAAGCCCACCAAGACGAUGAUACGUAGCCGACCUGAGAGGGUAAUCGGCCACAUUGGGACUGAGACACGGCCCAGACUCCUACGGGAGGCAGCAGUAGGGAAUCUUCCACAAUGGACGAAAGUCUGAUGGAGCAACGCCGCGUGAGUGAUGAAGGUUUUCGGAUCGUAAAACUCUGUUGUUAAAGAAGAACAAGUGUUAGAGUAACUGUUAACACUUUGACGGUAUUUAACCAGAAAGCCACGGCUAACUACGUGCCAGCAGCCGCGGUAAUACGUAGGUGGCAAGCGUUGUCCGGAUUUAUUGGGCGUAAAGCGAGCGCAGGCGGUUUUGUAAGUCUGCUGUGAAAGCCCUCAGCUCAACUGAGGAAGUGCAGUGGAAACUACAAAACUUGAGUACAGAAGAGGAAAGUGGAACUCCAUGUGUAGCGGUGAAAUGCGUAGAUAUAUGGAAGAACACCAGUGGCGAAGGCGGCUUUCUGGUCUGUUACUGACGCUGAGGCUCGAAAGCAUGGGUAGCGAACAGGAUUAGAUACCCUGGUAGUCCAUGCCGUAAACGAUGAAUACUAGGUGUUGGAGGGUUUCCGCCCUUCAGUGCCGCAGCUAACGCAUUAAGUAUUCCGCCUGGGGAGUACGACCGCAAGGGUUGAAACUCAAAGGAAUUGACGGGGGCCCGCACAAGUGGUGGAGCAUGUGGUUUAAUUCGAUGCUACGCGAAGAACCUUACCAGCUCUUGACAUCUUCUGCCAACCCAGAGAUUGGGCGUUCCCUUCGGGGACAGAUGACAG